AUGUCACAGUAUGUUGUGAUGAUAGUGUUAAUAAGAGUAGCAAUAAGAGUGACAAUAAGAGCGACAAUAAGAGCGANNNNNNNNNNGAGCGAAAAUAAGAGUAGCAAUAAGAGUGACAAUAAGAGCGACAAUACAAGCAGUAAUAAGAGCAACAAUAAGAGCAGUAGUAAGAGCGACAAUAAUACUAAUGAUGGUUUCACCAGUGCUAAAACCAUGCUAACUCGAUACGAACACAAAUACGUAGAUAUUUGUUUUUUUUCUAGUCAAAUAGGAAGUAGCAUAUUUUUAGUAAAUGUAUAUCUUGUUAGACAAACUACUGAAUUAUGCUUUUCUUUUUAUAUAAACGUCAAUUUUUUUUUACCUGCUAUUAAUAUGAUUUUACCGCAAAGUUUGAUACAAACUCGUGAAAACCAGGUCUUCAAUUUAGGAAGUAUUCAUUUAAAUAGUGAAAUUUCAUUUAAAAUAAAAUUAAAAAACUGUUUUAAAUACCCUGUUUCGGUUAAGGUUCUUUUUGAACAAUUAUUUACGAAAUUAGUUGGUACACAAAGUUCUACAAAAAUAAAUAAUUUUACUAACAGGGAGAAGAUAAAUAUAAAAGAGGAAGAAAUAAAAGCUUUAGAGCAUAUUGAUAAUGAUAGGAAAUAUAAGAAAAUUCGUGUUAGUAAUAAUGUUAGUAAUAAUGUUAGUAAUCAUGUUAGUGAUAGUGUUGGUGAUCAUGUUGGUGAUAGGAAUCACGAUGUUGAUACGUGUUUAAACCAAAGAAAUGAAUCUGGUGAGAAUAGAGAAAACAAAUUAAUUGGAAAUGUGGAUAGUGAUAAUGUAGUCAAUAAUAGCUGUAUAAAUAAAGACAAUAACAAAAUUGGAAGAAUGGGAACUUCUGUUGAAAACAAAAAAAAAUUAUACGCUUUGAAUAGCAAAUUGUUUUUUUUUAAUAAUAACAAAGCUGAUAAAAUAAUAUUAAGUAAAAAAGAUAAGAUUACCUAUUUUGAAUAUAAAAAUAAUAAGAACAUUAUGUACAGAAAAGAAAAGAAAAGAAAGGAAGUAUUUCAUGCAGGUAUCUUUAACUACAUUGGAAAUAGUAGUUACAUGUUAAAUGAAAAUGAUGAAGCUUGGUUUAAAAUAAAGAUUAACAAAAAAAAAUUAGAAAAUGAAAUAGUAAAAAGAAAACAGUUGCUUUUGAAAGCGGUAGAAAAUAGUGCGCAUGUGGUUGAUGUGGAACAAAUUAAAAAACAAAGUGAAGUUUCUGAAGAAUUAAUCGGUAAUAUUUCUAGUACUACUGAAAUUGUCAGUGAAAAAGGAACAAACAAAUAUGAUAAUAAGGGUGAUAAUAAAACCGAUUGCGAAAAUGAAUUGGACAGCAAUAAGAAAAAAGGUGAGAAAAAGGGUGAGAAAAAAGGUGAGAAAAAGGGUGAGAAAAAAGGUGAGAAAAAUGGUGAGAAAAAUGGUGAGAAAAAAGGUGAGAAAAAGAGUGAAAAGACGGAGAGGAAGGAAAAGAAAAAGAAAAAGGAAGUAAUAAAAACUGAAGAUAUAGAAAAAAAUGGUGCUGAUAAUGUGGGUAAACAAAAUGCAAUAAUAGGUUCGUACAAAAGUUAUAAAACUCUUCCUUUAGAACAAGACAAACAAGAACUGCUUGGUAGAAUAGGCAUUAACGUGGUAAAUAAUAGAUACGAAUUUGUCGAUUUACAAUUUGUAGGUAACAUAAUAGAAUGUACAAAUUACUGGAACUUCGAAUCAUUAAAACGUGAAAUGAGAAAAAUCAUAUGUAAAAGUGAUAAUGCAUAUAUUUAUAAGAAUCAUAUAAAUUUUGAUUUAUUACCAUUAAAUUAUAAUAAUAAAUUUAAAGUUUGUUAUACUAAUGAAAAUGAUUAUCCUUUAUAUUUUAAUAUCGAAAUAGAUAAAAAAUUAAAAAGUUUUUUAAAAAUAAGUUCUUUGAAUGGGUUUAUACCACCAAAUAGUUCUUUUCUUUUUUUCCUACAUAUGGAUAUAAAAGAGACUUUUAAUUUAGUAAAAAAACAAAUAGUAUGCAAAUUUUCUACAAAAGAUUUGAAUAUAAAAAAAAAUACCAAAACAAAAGAACAUGAUGAAGGACAUAUUUAUGAAGAUUCGUUAUAUGUAAGUAUAAUGUCAGAAGAAAUCAAAAUUUUGUAUGAUAAAAAAAAACUACUUUUUCAAAAUAUUCCUUUUCUGAAUUAUGCACAAAAUGAUUUAUUGAUAGAAAAUCUAUCUAAUGUAAAAUUAGUACUAGAAUUAAGUAUAAUACCGAAAAAUGAAAAAGAAGAUAUAACAUCUGUUUAUUCAUUUUGUCGUUUUAAAAAAAAAAAUAUUAUUUCAUUAGUAAAGCAAAAUGGAAUAAAUAUGUUAUUGAAGGGGGAGAGAGCGGUGAAAGAGGCGAAAAUGUUUGACUCGGGUUUGACAGAUAAUACAAGUACUAGCGGUGGUUUAUUUAAUGAUAGUGCUUUAAGAAAUGAUUGUGACAAUAACAUUUGUGACACUCACGAAGUUACAAACAAAAAUAGUAAUGUAGGUUAUACGCUGUCCAAUGAAACUAACAGUAGUAAGUAUGAUUUAGAUAAACAGAAUGGAGGUAACAGAAAUAGUCCCACUGUUACAGGUCCUAUAGAAAGAGUAGAAAAAAAUUUUGAUCGAACUAACUACAAUCUGGAUAACAUUGAUUUUAUCCAAGAAAAUUAUAAACAAAGUGGAACUAAUAAUAACAAAACAAGUGCAUGUAGUAUGAUAAAAAGUAAAAAGAAUCAAACUGUUAUUAAAAAGUAUGUAACUAUGAAUGGAAAAAGUAAAAAAGUGAUACAUAUAUAUUGUUUACAUUAUUUAUUGCAAAAGUCUAAUGAAGCGAUGUUAGUAAUAAAAAUACAAUUUUAUAAUAAUAUAAAUAUACCAUUGAAAAUGGAAUUUGAAAAUUAUGAUCAGAAUAAUAAUGUAUCUUUAUUAACUGAUUUUGAAUAUAAAAAGGGACUUGUACAGAAUCAUAAUAUAAUUAAUAUAUUAAGUAGAGGAAUAUUAAAUAAGAUAAGACAUGAACUAUUUUUAUUAAACAUGUCUAAUAAAGAAUUACAGUAUUUUUUUAAAAGAACUAAUGAAUUAGAUUGUGCAAAUGGUGAUAAUGAUACAUGCAUGGUAGAUGAAAAUGGGAGCUUAGUUAGCAACAUACGUAGUAACAUAAGUAGUAACAUAAGUAGUAGCAUAAAUAGUAGCAUAAAUAGUAGCACUAUAGAAUGUGUGAAUGAUAACGGAAAUAUAAAAGAAAACAGUAUUUUACCAAUUAAAUUUUUAUCUAAUAGUUAUAAUUCGUUACAUUAUAAAACUAAGUAUAUGUUAUACGUAGAUAAUAAACAAAAUAGACAAAUCGAAUUUGACUUAAAACCAAUUCAACCGUUAGUAUUUUUUAACACUUCUUGUAUAUAUAUAGAUAAUUUAUUAUUAGAAAAAAGUUAUUGUUUUGUUUUUUAUAUAAUAAACUUUGAUUUUGUUGACAUGAAUUUUGAAUUUGAUAAAAACUCGUAUAGCUCCUUCAAUAGUCAAAAAGAUACAAUUAAAAUAGUGCCAUCGAAGGGAACUGUAAAGUCUUGUUACAAAUGGGAAAAAACGUAA
rnacentral:lncRNA from 1 species